rnacentral:rRNA from 1 species
UACGGAGGGGGCUAGCGUUGUUCGGAAUUACUGGGCGUAAAGGGCGCGCAGGCGGCUGCUCAAGUCAGGCGUGAAAGGCCUGGGCUCAACCCGGGAAUUGCGCUUGAGACUGGGCUGGCUUGAGUGCGGGAGAGGAUGGUGGAAUUCCCAGUGUAGAGGUGAAAUUCGUAGAUAUUGGGAAGAACACCGGUGGCGAAGGCAGCUCGCUGGGACGGUACUGACGCUGAGACGCGAAAGCGUGGGGAGCAAACAGG